rnacentral:lncRNA from 1 species
GGCACAAAAGGCAGAUGGAAAUGUGUUGUGAAAACAAGCAUGUUUGCUGGGCUCAUAAUCAUUCACUUAAAAUUGCUUUUGUAAUAUGUAGUUUACAAAGUUAUAGGCAAAAUGUUUGGCAGAAUAGUUGUACUAUUUCUACAAUUCUUUCUGCUUUGUCUACUUUCUUAUAUAGGUCAGAUUUCAAACUUUUUGAGAGGGUGGGAACAGAUUUUCUGAUUUUCUCACAAUAUCUGAAAUGGUUUGUAUCUCUGCUUUGGUAGAAAAUCUGUUUUAAGUACAGAAGUGGUCCUGAGACAGAUCUCACUUAUGCUACUUACUCCUGUGAACCAGGAGCAAUUUCUCUAGAGUCAGGGAAGUUACAGUCAUUUGGUCCUACUGUAAAUGAAAUUGGAAUCAAGCCUUAAGUCUCCCCAAGCAAGUUUGUGAUGGCUCAAGCAUUUGUUUUAAUUUAAUAAUAAUUAGACAGUUACAGCUUAUCUAAAAAUUACAUUCACUUUUUUGCUGCUACAAGAAUACUAAAACCCCUGUCUGGCUACUCUGAGGUAUUGUAAUGCCUGUUCCAUCCAUUCCCUUUCAAAUGGCAAUGGCACCUGGGUGCAACACAGCAAUGAACUCCUCCAUUAGCUCCUCUUGCUCCUUUCCUGCCUGUGAAACUAAUCUACCUGUGCUAGUCCUAGUACUACGCAAUUAGUUUAGUGUAACAGUCAUCAAAAUGUACCGUGUACAUUAAAGAUGAGUGCUGUUGAUCAGCAUAGAUUUCUAGGAGCAUGGUUUUCUGUUUGUUAUGACUUUACAAAAAAAAAAUAAAAAAAUAAGUAAAUAAAACAAUGGCAUAAAAAUAUAGAAAAUUAAAAAAAAAAAAAAUUAAAAAAGCAGCUUCUCUGCUCUAGACUAGCUAGGAGCUCUAGAUGGCAGGAGCUACCUCUUCAAGACUGGGCUGUAUUUACAACUGUAAAAGAGAAAAUCUGAAACAAGCUUUCACGCAUUUGCAUGCAGCCAUUAUCUUCCAAACUAUGGAAAGAAACAGUCUUGUUGCUGGCCGAGAAGCACCUCACACACCUCCUCUCUCUUGUUCUGAAUGGUAUUUGUGUCAGUCUGCAGCUGUGUAUGGUAUUAUGUCUUAUAAUCUUGCAUCACUUCUAUUCUAUCCAGUCAUAUCUAAUGUAGAAAAUUAGUUUCAGUGAAGUAAUAUGUAGUGCUUUUAUGAUAUUUGUGUGCAAUAUCCCCUCUUCCAUUGAGGAUAUUUGAUGUAAAAGAAACAAACUCAGUUCCACAAUAAAAUACAAAGUGGUAAAGUGGUGUUGA